AUUGAACGCUGGCGGCAGGCUUAACACAUGCCAGUCGAGCGGAUGAAGGGAGCUUGCUCCUGGAUUCAGCGGCGGACGGGUGAGUAAUGCCUAGGAAUCUGCCUGGUAGUGGGGGAUAACGUCCGGAAACGGGCGCUAAUACCGCAUACGUCCUGAGGGAGAAAGUGGGGGAUCUUCGGACCUCACGCUAUCAGAUGAGCCUAGGUCGGAUUAGCUAGUUGGUGGGGUAAAGGCCUACCAAGGCGACGAUCCGUAACUGGUCUGAGAGGAUGAUCAGUCACACUGGAACUGAGACACGGUCCAGACUCCUACGGGAGGCAGCAGUGGGGAAUAUUGGACAAUGGGCGAAAGCCUGAUCCAGCCAUGCCGCGUGUGUGAAGAAGGUCUUCGGAUUGUAAAGCACUUUAAGUUGGGAGGAAGGGCAGUAAGUUAAUACCUUGCUGUUUUGACGUUACCAACAGAAUAAGCACCGGCUAACUUCGUG
rnacentral:rRNA from 1 species